rnacentral:rRNA from 1 species
GACGAACGCUGGCGGCGUGCCUAACACAUGCAAGUCGAACGGAGCGGCGAGGAGCUUGCUUUUCUUAGAUUAGUGGCGAACGGGUGAGUAACGCGUGAGUAACCUGCCUUGUAGUGGGGGACAACUAUUGGAAACGACUGCUAAUACCGCAUAAGCUCAUGAUCCGCCAUCGGAUUUAGGGAAAAGGAUCGUUUCGCUUCAGGAUGGAGGCGCGUCCAAUUAGUUAGUUGGUGAGGUAACAGCCCAGCAAGGAGGCGACGGGUAGCCGGGCUGGUGGGUUGCACGGGCACAUUGGGGGUGAGACACGGACGAGAAUGCUACGGGAGGGAGCAGUGGGGGAUAUUGCACGCGGGGGGAAGGCCUGACGAUGCGACGUCGUGUAGAGGAAGAAUGUUUUCGGAAUGUAAUUUCGUGUGGUUAGGGCCGAUAGUGACGGUACCUAACAAGAAAGCACCGGCUAACUACGUG